rnacentral:rRNA from 1 species
GGUCAAGCUAAUCAGAGCU